rnacentral:lncRNA from 1 species
UAUUUUAUUCGUCGGGUACAACUCUGCCUUGAUUUUCACGCGCUCCACUAUUUUGGCCAUUUCAUCUUCUUCAUGAGCCUAUUUAUUUUCAUUCUUUGUAAUGUUCCUGCUCUCUUCACUUAUGGUCAUGCUUAUAUUCACGCCUUCAUUUUUUUAUUUUAUUCUAUUUUUCCCUCUCCACUUUCAUGCUCCGACUGAAUUUACCUAGGUGAGUUUUCUUUUUAAUUUUUCGAUUGAUUUCUGGGUCUUCUUUCUCCUAAUUGAUUGGAUAUUUCUUUGAAGUGUUGUUUUUGGUAGUUGAAGUUUUAGGAUCACCCACAUGUUUUCAAAGUUGCAUAUUUCUUGUUAGAUGCAACUGAUGAGCCACCUCUAGUUCUACAAGUUUCACACUUUCUUCAUCUUUAAUUUCCUCUUACCUAUCUCUUUCUCUAUCUUCUCCAUUGGAGUUUAUAGUAUUCUGGUGAGUAUUUUGUGUUUGGUAUUUUCCUUUGUUUGUCCUUUCUUAUUUCUUUAUCAAUCUUUUUUUGGUUUUCUAUUUUGUUCGUUUGUAUUGUUAAAUUAUCUUUCGGGUCUUCUGUGUACAUGCAGCUAUGGAUACACUCUCCAAAAUACACGUGCAUCCUGAUAAAAUCCAAAAGCCUAAGGACAGAAUGAAGAGAAUAUUUCUGGUGAGAAUGUAAACCGUUGGUUCAAAUCAGCUAAUCCAAACGGGCUCUUAGACUAUUGAUUUGGAAUCUUCAUUUACCUAUAAAGUUACAUUUGCAUUUGAUCUUUAUUUUUCUUUUUAAUGCAAUGUAUAAGUGGAUUUUUGGUCUACAACUACAAGUGUUUAAUUUUUCCUCCUUUUUAAAAAUUUUCUGGGUAGAUUCUACUAAGUUUCCCUCUCAAUAGAAAUGCUAAUUUAAAGGGAAGAACUUUGUUGCACUUAAGGUGUUCGACGAUAUGAUUAAAAAAACUGAGUAAUAUUCUACCAUUUCUUUUCCCAUAGGUGAAUUUAUCACAAGUAUCUAUCCUUUUGUAAGGCCAGAAAUUUUGAUUGCACAAAUAUAGGUCAUUUGAAAGAUGUUUCGGUAACUGUAGGUAUGGUAGUGAAAUAUUUAGCAUAUCCUUUACUGGGAUGUGUUGGAAAAUUCAUUUGUAUCUAAAAAGAUGAAGCCUUUUCAUGAAAGAAAAUGAAUAUGGAUAAUUCUCUAAUGGUGCCCUGCAUUUUGACUGUGCUGCAAUUAGUAAUAUUAAUUUGUCAGGAAUUCAUCAUUAGCAGAAAGCUCUCAUUUUAGUUGUUUAUCUGGAGUAUCUAUUUAUAUGAUAAGGUAUACACGAUUAAUUACAUUAAUUUUCUCUUCUUUUCAUUUGAUAUCUAGGUCAAUAUAAAUGUGUAUACACACAAACCUUCUUAUAUAUUUGUCACCCUAACGGUGUUUAAAUGCAGUACUUGUCAUAACUUUGAACUCCUUGUUUGCCUUUAUUUUAUUGUAUAAAUGAAAUAUGUUUUUUUGUACUGGUUUUUCUUCAUGAAAUGUGGCUUCUAAAACUAGGUUGUUUUAGUAUAUUAUAACGCAAGGUGGACUCAUUGACUCCCCAGUAGUUUAUGCAGCACCAAGGUAAUAUUAUGUUUUGGUGUCAUUCAGAUGCAUGGUCUGUUUGAUAGUGAACUGCGGACAGCUCAUAUUAAGAGGUAAGAGAAAGAAGUUUUUGCUUCCUUAAUAAACUAUAAGAGUUCUUCCGGUUACUUUAAUUUUGAUAUUAAUGGUCAUAAUAUUGUAUUUACUGCGAUUUCGAUAUCUAUAGUAUAUAAAAGGAGUGGAUGGUUCCUACUGGUUUCUGAAACAUUGGUGUAUAUUCAUGAGAAAAUGGCUGCAAGAAAACAUAAACGUAGCUUGAGAGAACUUUGUUAUAAAAAAAGCUUUUUGGAUGUUUGAGUAAUAAAGUGAUCUUUUCUUUUCCAUUUUCAAUGUAAUUGUUUCUUCUAGGAUAAUUAUGUAUUACAUAUACUUCUGAUAUUGAGUAUUUUAAGUUUUCAUAUUAAAGAGUUAUGUACAUAAAGAAUCUCCUUUAUUGUCGACAAGUUUGACUGACUGUUAGCUUUCCAAAAGCAAAGGUGAUUAGGUUGCAGGGUACAUGAAUGUAUUAGUCUAUGGUUAGAUAUUUAUCCUUUUUAAGGUUCUCAAAAAUGAAAGACUGCCGUAAAUCCUUUACAAAGUCCAGGUAAAUGCUUCAUCCCAGUGAAAAAGCACAUGAAGAAACUGAAGUCUCAAUUUGACUUGUCAGGCAGUUUGAAAUUAUCGAAAUAUUAUUUUCUGCAGGAAUGAACUAUUAAUAUUGUAGAUGAAUUUUUGUUAUGCUCGCAAACUUUUCAUGAUCAUGAUUGUGCCAUUUUUAAAACAUAGAGAAAAUGAAUACUGGUAAAGCUGAAACUGAAAAUUACCUGGGUAAUUCUGCUAUUACUUACACUUUGUGAUUUAGUUUUGACAUUCUUAUCAAUAAGAAUCUCUUUGUGCCUCAUUAGUCUCUGGCCUUGCCAUUAGUUGGAGCAAUCCUCUCCAUAACGUAUUAUAUUUGCAGUUGCAAGUAAUAAUAUGUUUGAACUGUAGCCUGCCAGGAUAUUAGACACUUCAAUUUAUCUAAGUUAUUCUUUACCGAAUGUAGGUAUAGCGUUUAUGUGCUAGCUUCUAUCUCCUAACUCCUCAUUGGAGGACCUUAAAUAGCCUUAAGAGGUGAGUAUAUAACAAAAGCAGACAGACAAUGGAGAAUUAUUUUGGGAUAAAAUCUCCAUGUAAUGUAGUUUCAUUCUGUUUUACUCAUAUCUUUCCCCGGUAAUAUUUGUCUUCUGUAGUAAUAUUCGCCUUGUGUAGUAAGUAAUUUGCUCUUUCUAAUAUGAUUCAAUUAAAAUGCUCACUUACAAAUAUUCCUUCUAAUAGCCAUAGGAUAUAUCUAUAUAGAUACUUACAACUCUAUGCAAAAGGCUGCUCUGUUGUUUCCAAAGUAGUAGUGCUUAACAUAUUUUUUCUAAAAAGCAAAUUUUUGACCAGUGAUCUCUGGUAUCGGUGGUUCAUGCUAUAGUAUUAAGAUGUUAUCGGAUGCAAGAUAUCAAGCUCCUUAUACAUGGUAAGUAAAAGGUAGAAAUGCCAUGGGUUUACUUUAUGCUUCUUUGGGUGGUCAAUACAUUUAUGUAAUUAACAUAACCACGAAAAUAUUGUGGUAAAUUAGAGUUUGGUAGCAAGUAAUUGAUUGAAUUUUGCCAUGAAAUAGUGUUGAAAAAUUACUCUUUUAUAGUUAGAGAAUCCUGGAUGAUGCAAAUAAUCUCAGUACGGAGGUGCAAAAGUAUGUGUUUAUUGCCAAGGAAUAGAAUCUUGAAUGAGGAUGGAGGUUAAAGAAAGCUUGGUUUGUUUGUUUCUCCCUUCGUCUCUCUGAUUUUGCUGAUUGAUAAGUCGGUGUGAGAUUUGUCAGCGUCUUCUUCAUAUAUAAUUCCAUUAUUUUUUGGUUUUAUCUCCUCAUCUUAUUCUUAUUAAUUAUUUUCUGACUAAUUAGAUUUCGUUGCUUUCAUCUUCAUUGCUUGAUUUGGGUAAAACUGUAUUGGGUUUUGAUUAUUUUGUGAAUGGUUAAUUUUUUUUUUCAAUGUUAAUGAUUUAACGUGGAGAUUUAAAACAGAUAUGUUGCAUUGUUACAGGGAAAAAUUUUAUGAAAUGGAGGGAGAGUUUGUAAUCUCAUGGAGAUGACAAUCCUUUCUCCUUUUACUGUUGUGUUAAUUAUGCUUAUACCUUUGCUAUAGAUUUCUGCUCAAUUAAAAAAAAAGAGGUAUAUUAAUUGUACUUUAAUUGGUUUUGCAGCAAAACCUUAAUUGUCAUCUUUCACAAGGAUUUUUUCUCUUUCAAAUUUUCGAGAUAUUUAUAUUAGGUAUGCCCCUUUGCUGUAUCUGGUAUUGCAGGAAUAUGCUGAACACAUUUUCCUCGGUGGAAGUAAUACUUCCUAAGUUUUUUACUAUGAUUGCAAUUUUAUAUAUAGAAACUCCACCAAAUGCGUCUCCAACAUGAAAAAGUUUGAUCAUUCUUCAUAUGCAAAGUUUUCAUGUACAGAGCCAUUUUCCUCUUUCUGUUACUCAUUCUUAGUACUUUUUGUUGUUGUCAGCUUUAGUGCACGCACACAAUAUGAUUUGUAUGAUGAAAACAAAUUAUUUGUAACAUGAAGUUCAUUAGAAAAGAUUGUUGGUUCUGUAGGCACACUGUACAAGCGCCGCGAUUUGAGAGACAACAUGAGAGUCCAAAAAUAUGGCUACAGUUUCCACUUACCAGUAGAGCUACAACUGCUGUUGUAAGAAAUUAUCCUUUCUUUCCAACUCGUGGCUUUUCCUCAAAAGUUUGAAAAUUAUUUUCUUACUUUUUUGCUGGGAUAAUCUUAUAUGGUAAUUAUAACUCUAGCUUAGAUUGCACGGAUACUGUAUUCAGUGGAAGAAAAAAGCAAUAUGGAAUGCUAAGUUCAUGUUCUUUGUUUUACCAUUUCUCGAUCUUUUUGUAAAAUCUAGAAGUAUGAUAUUGCAGGAACUAACUAUUGUAUUUUUGAGGAACUAUUCUAUUUAUGCUACCUGCCCCAAUCAACAUUGAAAUAUAAGAGAAAGAGAGAACUAAUUGAAAAUCCAUUCCAGGAGUUCUUAGAACUAGAAAGAAAGACGCAGUGAUAUUACUUUCUGUACUUUAUCUAAAGCCUGGAAGGACAUGAAAUAUUUAACACAAGGCAAUAUCCAUUUUGGUACUUGAAUGGCACGGCAGUCUAUGAUCGCAUAUAGCUGCAAUAUCUGUUUCUGAACUUGAUAUUACAGUUUUAUCUUGUUAGCUACUUCGGAAUAUUAUGCAGAUGUCACAUAAUAAGCUCAUAUCAAUACAGGUGCAUCCUUAUGCCAGAGUUGAAAUAUGGAUCUUCGAAUGCAUUUAGCUAGAAACGAGUUCUUUGGCGUUCAAGUUGGAUAAACUGUUCAUGACUUUGCUAUUAUCUCAGUGUCAAGGUACAUAUCUUUUAUGCAUUACCAUUCCCGUUCAUUCAAAUUUUCCAUAUCUAUUGGUGCAUUUAACCUUAAUCUUUUGGUUAACAGAGCACAUCCUGAAAAUAUUCGAUGUAGUACUAUAGAAGGAAGCUGGUUCUUUUUUCCUAUCCCGCACUAGAGAGUAGAGAUGAUGUGAAGCAAUUGUUACUUUGCUUGAGGACAAAUAAUAUUGAUGUAAUUUGAAAAUGCAACAUUUAGAGAAUGCCUUGUGAUCUCAAUGUGAAUGAACUUUAAAAUUACCAAAAUGUAAAAUUAGAAAUGUAAGUAUCUUAUGUGACUGAGUUAGUUAGUGAUCCAUUUUCAAAGUUCAUCUAGAUGGGUAGAUGGCCUUGUUUGCACUUGCUUAUUACAUGAUCACUAAAAACUUGAUCCUAUAUACAAAAUUAUGAAGCUAAAGGUUGUUUAAAGUAGUUAUCUUAGUAACGAAAGGAAAAUAUUACAUCAGGUCCCGUGCGUAGCGCGGGCACGCCCAUCUAGUGUUUUAAACAAAGGAAUCUUCUUUGUUUCAUUAAGGGGUCAUUUGGUUGACCGUAAUUGCAAAGAUAAUUUCAAUAGAUAAUUUUGUACAAACAAA